rnacentral:rRNA from 1 species
UACGUAGGGGGCAAGCGUUGUCCGGAAUCAUUGGGCGUAAAGAGCGUGUAGGCGGCCCGAUAAGUCCGCUGUGAAAGUCCAGGGCUCAACCCUGGGAUGCCGGUGGAUACUGUCGGGCUCGAGUCCGGAAGAGGAGUGUGGAAUUCCUGGUGUAGCGGUGAAAUGCGCAGAUAUCAGGAGGAACACCAAUUGCGAAGGCAGCUCGCUGGGACGUAACUGGCGCUGAGACGCGAAAGCGUGGGGAGCAAACAGG